rnacentral:pre_miRNA from 1 species
AGCCUUCUGCAUCCGUGCUAAGAUUUUGUCACACACCAGACCACAAAGGGCUGAUGAGAUUCUCAAGAUAAGUGAAGCA